AGGAACGUGCACUGAUGGAAGUUUGCCCUCGGAGGCACGCGCAAGCAAUUCCGGCGAAAACCACUUGGCUAGCUGGUUGUCACCACCACCGCUGUUCACUUCUGCAAGAACCAAAAGGGAGGCGACGUAGGUAACUGACCAUUCAACGACCUCUGGUGCGAAUUCACUAGAAGCUGAUGCAGCGUGGUACCGCCCGACAUUCCUCGGCUCAUGUUCAUGUUAAACUGAAAAGAUACCAAAAAUUUAACGACCAUUAAAAAUAGCAAAGACAACAAAACUCAACCACACUCAGGUUAAUAAAUCUACAAUAAAAUUACAGCCUUAA